rnacentral:rRNA from 1 species
AGGGCCGCAGUAUUCCUGACUGUGCGAAGGUAGCAUAAUCAUUAGUCUUUUAAUUGAAGGCUUGAAUGAAUGGUUGGACGAGAUGAAAGCUGUCUCUACAUUGUUGUAAAAUUUAACUUUUAAGUGAAAAGGCUUAAAUAAUUUAGGGGGACGAUAAGACCCUAUAAAAUUUUAUAUAAGUGAGUUUAUGGAAAAAUUUAGUUUAAAUUAAGAUAGGUGUAUUUAUAUUUUGUUGGGGUGAUAUAAAUAUAAUUUGUAGCUGUUUAGAUAAUAUAAUAUAAGUAAAUAGAUUUUGAUCCUUUUUUAGAGAUUAAAAGAUUAAGUUACUUUAGGGAUAACAGCGUAAUUUCUUUUGAGAGUUCUUAUCGACAAAGAUAGUUGCGACCUCGAUGUUGAAUUAAAAUUUUAAUUGGGUGUAGCAGCUUAAUUGGUAGGUCUGUUCGACCUUUAAAAUUUU